ACCGGCUGAAGAGCCCCAAACAGGACGAAACGCGCGUCCUGGAU
rnacentral:hammerhead_ribozyme from 1 species